ncrna:unclassified sequences hatchet ribozyme
AUCAUCAGAAGAUGACAAGCAUGUGGGGCGUAAGUAAUUAUAUAGACAUUUAUAUUUAUUAAAUACGACAUAUAAAUAUAUUUGGACAUUCGUAUUUAUAUAAUUAUGAUCGUGCGGACGUUAAAAUCAUGC